rnacentral:rRNA from 1 species
AGGUGCGAUCAUACCAGCACUAAUGCACCGGAUCCCAUCAGAACUCCGCAGAUAAGCGUGCUUGGGCGAGAGUAGUACUGGGAUGGGUGACCUCCUGGGAAGUUCUCAUGUUGGAUUUU